rnacentral:rRNA from 1 species
AUGAACGUUGGCGGCGUGGAUUAGGCAUGCAAGUCGCGCGAUAAGCCCCGCAAGGGGUGGAAAGCGGCGUAAGGGAGAGGAAUACGUGGAUCAUCUGCCCUCGAGUCCGGGAUAGCCGCGGGAAACUGCGGGUAAUACCGGAUGACAUCCCCGGAUCAAAGGUGUGAUUCCGCUCGAGGAUGAGUCCGCGUCCUAUCAGCUAGUUGGUGGGGUAAUGGCCUACCAAGGCAAUAACGGGUACUGGGUGUGAGAGCACGACCCAGCUCACUGGGACUGAGACACUGCCCAGACACCUACGGGUGGCUGCAGUCGAGAAUCUUCGGCAAUGGGCGCAAGCCUGACCGAGCGACGCCGCGUGCGGGAUGAAGGCCUUCGGGUUGUAAACCGCUGUCAGUGGGGAGGAAAUUCCUGGGGGUUCUCCCCCAGGAUUGACCUAUCUUCAGAGGAAGUACGGGCUAAGUUCGU